UACAGAGGUGGCAAGCGUUGUUCGGAAUUACUGGGCGUAAAGGGCGCGUAGGCGGCUUGGUCAGUCCCGUGUGAAAUCCCUCGGCUCAACUGAGGAACUGCACGGGAAACUGCCUGGCUCGAGUUCGGGAGAGGGAAGCGGAAUUCCGGGUGUAGCGGUGAAAUGCGUAGAUAUCCGGAGGAACACCGAUGGCGAAGGCAGCCUCCUGGGCCAACACUGACGCUCAUGCACGAAAGCGUGGGGAGCAAACAGG
rnacentral:rRNA from 1 species